CGGUAACAGGAAACAGCUUGCUGUUUCGCUGACGAGUGGCGGACGGGUGAGUAAUGUCUGGGAAACUGCCUGAUGGAGGGGGAUAACUACUGGAAACGGUAGCUAAUACCGCAUAACGUCGCAAGACCAAAGAGGGGGACCCUCGGGCCUCUUGCCAUCGGAUGUGCCCAGAUGGGAUUAGCUUGUUGGUGGGGUAACGGCUCACCAAGGCGACGAUCCCUAGCUGGUCUGAGAGGAUGACCAGCCACACUGGAACUGAGACACGGUCCAGACUCCUACGGGAGGCAGCAGUGGGGAAUAUUGCACAAUGGGCGCAAGCCUGAUGCAGCCAUGCCGCGUGUAUGAAGAAGGCCUUCGGGUUGUAAAGUACUUUCAGCGGGGAGGAAGGGAGUAAAGUUAAUACCUUUGCUCAUUGACGUUACCCGCAGAAGAAGCACCGGCUAACUCCGUGCCAGCAGCCGCGGUAAUACGGAGGGUGCAAGCGUUAAUCGGAAUUACUGGGCGUAAAGCGCACGCAGGCGGUUUGUUAAGUCAGAUGUGAAAUCCCCGGGCUCAACCUGGGAACUGCAUCUGAUACUGGCAAGCUUGAGUCUCGCAGAGGGGGGUAGAAUUCCAGGUGUAGCGGUGAAAUGCGUAGAGAUCUGGAGGAAUACCGGUGGCGAAGGCGGC
rnacentral:rRNA from 1 species